rnacentral:rRNA from 1 species
CCCCUAGAUGUUCUGGGCCGCACGCGCGCUACACUGAACAGUUCAACAAGUCUUAACCUUGGCCGAUAGGUCUGGGUAAUCUUUGAACGCUGUUCGUGAUUGGGAUAGACCUUUGCAAUUAUGGGACUUCAACGAGGAAUUCCUAGUAAACGCAAGUCAUCAGCUUGCAUUGAUUACGUCCCUGCCCUUUGUACACACCGCCCGUCGCACCUACCGAUUGAAUGGUCCGGUGAAAUCUCGGGACGGCGGCUUGGUCGCUUGCGUCCGACUGCUGAAACUUGAUUAAACCAUAUCAUUUAGAGGAAGGUGAAGUUGUAACA